CGCUUUUUUCGCGCAGGCGGAGCUCGACCGCAAACUGAAGUCGUAAACGCCUACAUCGAUCAGCACCGGGACACCCAUGGGGUCGAGCCGAUCUGCAAAGUGCUGCAGGUUGCCCCA
rfam:Thioalkalivibrio denitrificans strain ALJD Ga0073317_1049, whole genome shotgun sequence.